CCCGGACAGUUUUGAGUAUUUCAGUUCCUGGAGACUGCAGCCCCUCAGGACAACCUGUGCAGGAAAGGUGUGAAAAUGCCUCUGAUCCGCUUUUUGGCCCUGCUGUGGACCUGUUGAUAUGGCCAUGUCUUUCUGGUGCUGGGCUCCACAGAGCUGGACACAGUCUUCCAGAUUCAACAUGGAGGAGAAUGACUGGGUGUAGCUGGUCUAGUUUUCCCAUUUAACUGUUUUGAUUUGGGAAGGAGGUACACUGUUCUUGAAGAAUGACUUCAGAUAGUGUUCUUGUCCUUUGCUGUUAUGG